rnacentral:lncRNA from 1 species
UAUUAGUGAGGAAUAAUGGAACAAUUCCUUUAUAUUUAUAGAGAUAGGGGACAUAAUUCAUAUGGAUAUAGUAAGUCUUGCUUGGGCUGCUUUAAUGGUAGUCUUUACUUUUUCCCUUUCACUCGUAGUGUGGGGAAGGAGUGGACUCUAGGGGUUCUGCUAAUUGAGUUAAGGAAGCAAACUGUAUCAUUAUCAAUUGCUUUCUAGAUGGUUCUGCAACACGUUUGGAACAAAAUAAAAAUAUCUUCAUUUUGAAAUUCCAUUGGACUCGACUGGAGUAAUGUAUUAUAGGAAUCAGCCUCUUUCAAUCAAAGAGCUAUUUCAACGAUUCCCAUGUUUGUAGUUCGAAAGGAAAAGGAUCCCAGGAAAUUUAUUCGAACCUAAUUCUUACUAAAUUUUCUAUUCCAAUCAAUGGCCUCUUCCUAGGUGAUACUGAGGAGGGCCGGACCCGUUUUUUAUUUGGUUCUCUCUUUACUGUUCAAAGAAAAAGUGGUUUUGUUAAGUGUAUACGCACUUUGUAUGAGAAAGAAAGGAUAUAAACAUAGUGGUUGUCUAACGAGAUACUAUUUAGAAUAAGAUCGUCAGGUGAGUCACAUAUUGCGCAUUUACCUUUCGAAUUUUGGAAAUUGGAUUUAGACUUUAUCGACUUAUUUCAUAUCAUGGUUCAGGCCUUAAAAAUCAGUGAGGUUUACUCUUCCUUUUCGAUGCCCGUGGAACUACUGUCAAUGGUUUACUUCUUAGGAAUGUUAAAAAAAAAAAAGAUUACUACGUGAUUUUUUGAAUAUGCCUAUAUCUAUCGCUUUUGCUUCAUUGAUUUGAUUCUCUCAAUAGAUACUGAGAUUCAUAUUGGAAAUCAAAAAUAUAGUAAUUCAAACUAUAAGACAUAGGAGUAAUUCAGAUUGAUCAGAACAAAUAGAUAUAGCAAAUAAAUGGAAUUGGAUGCUAUGUCAAUCCCAUAUAUGGAAUUGAUAUUCACAUAUAUCAAGAUAAUAUUGUAGAUUGAUAUAUAGAUCCAUAUCAAAUGCAGCCUCUAUCUUUAUUUUAUUCCAGGGGGCAGCUUUAUAACAAGAAUCUAACUAAUAAAUAGUAUGGUAGAAAGAAAUAGAUGAAUCUUUCUACCAUACUAUCUAUCUAUUAGAAUACUGCCGAUUCUAGUCCACUCAUUUCAUUUAAGACAUGAAAUUGGAAUCUUUUUCAUUUUAUUUCGUCAAUUUUGGCUAAGAACUCAGAAGUCAAGUUUCAUUCAAAUUAGUUAAUAAUUAAUCGUUUUGACUGACUGUUUUUACAUAAAUGAUAAGUAGAAAAGCGGUAGGAACUAGAAUAAAUAGUGCAGUAGCAAUAAAUGCAAGAAUAUUUACUUCCAUAAUCUCAUCGGUUUUUUACUUCGCAAUAACUCGGGAUUUAAUCCCAUAGAGAUGAUAAAUCUUUGGCCUGUAAAUUCAAUGAAUGAAUAUUACCUCUCGAUGAUCUUGAAUCAGAUCAAUAUCAUGAAUAACAAUAUCUGAACUAUCAAAUAAAUUCGUCGUCGAGAAUUGAAUAGUAUAACAUAGGAAGUUCUUUUAUCCAUACCGCCCCAAACUCGGAUUGCUGACCUAACCCAAAAUUCCUUUAUUUAUUUAUCAUUUUUUAUUAUCUGUUCUUUUUUUCUCUCUAAUCUAUCUAGUUCCUUCUUGUACAAUCAUCUGAUGAAGUCUCAUCAAAUAGCUCUUCCACUUCCAGUGGUCACAUAGUUACAAACCCAAACAAACAAUAAAAGCUAAAUGGAAAAAGAAAGGAGUUUAGAACGAAACUAUUUUUGACUUGGAAGACAAAGAAGUGUGAUAAAGAUGAGACCGUAUAAAAUGAAUAUUCAUCAAAUUGACUAUUUUCCGAUUUGUUCGUUCGUCGAUGGGGCCUUAAAACAAAAUGAAAAAUAGGAAAAAUGAUUCAUUCGCCUUUCUAAGAGGAGUAGGAUCUUUGGUUGAUCUGUCCUUCCCCCUCCUUUCUUCGUCGAUUAUUAGCCCCGGGACACCUAUACCAAAAGCUCAGUGUGCAAUUUGCAUGAAAUCUAUUUUGCAACUUCAAACUAGUAAGUCAGGUUCCAUAAAUCCGUAGCCAGAAAAAGAAAUUGUUUUUUUUUUUUUUUGUUUUUUCUGGAAAGUAUUUUCUUAUAUUCAAUUUUGUAUUGGACAACAAAGGAAUUCCUUUUGUGUAUGCGCGCCUCAAAAAAGUAUAGUACUCGAUUCCAUUACAUGCAUCGGGGGCAAUCGAAAAAGCCAGCAUUUCUUGGAAUACUGACUAUAAUGCUACCAAUAAUUGUACUAAUCCAACCGCAUAUGUCUUUCUCCUACCAAAAGGAAAGAAAAAAGAAAUAAGGAUUUCCCCUUUGCUUUGACAAUGGAAUUCUUCCCCCGGUCCCCUUCAGAAAAAGGGAGAGAUUUUUUGAUAUAUUUAUUGGAUCCGUCGGGACUGACGGGGCUCGAACCCGCAGCUUCCGCCUUGACAGGGCGGUGCUCUGACC